rnacentral:misc_RNA from 1 species
GAUCAUUUCACAAGCCACAUUCAGUCAAAAUCAAGCCAGAAAUAACAGCAAUUCCCAAAAUUUUUAGGAUUUAAAACCAAGAUGGGUAAUGGGAGAAAUAUAAUCUUUUUGAACUAUUGACAGAUGUUUAGCCAAUACAGACAGCAGUUAAUUAGUAAAAAUUUCAAACCUAAUACCAAUUUGAUGAAAGAACACUAAUUGAUUUCUACAGUCAUACCAUGUACCAAAAAUAAAAAUAAAAGACGUGCAAUUUAAGAACCAUUAAUUAAAACAAGCGUUGUUGUGGACAUAUAGGUACUUUAUGUUGCUCUGGACAUCAUCACACAACAGAUUUUGAGGAUCACCUAUAAUUUUUCUAAAAUGAUAAAUAAAUAUAUUAACUAUAGCUACAACUAAGCCUUAAUCCCAAAUU